AAGGAGUCGUCUUCGUAUGCGAGUGUUCGGGUGUAAAACCCCUACGCGAAAUGAAAGUGAACGCAGGUGAGAGCUUCGGCGCAUCACCGACCGAUCCUGAUGUUCUCGGAUGGAUUCGCGUUAGAGCAUACGGGGCCGGACCCGAAAGAUGGUGAACUAUGCCUGUAUAGGGUGAAGCCAGAGGAAACUCUGGUGGAGGCUCGCAGCCGUUCUGACGUGCAAAUCGAUCGUCAAAUCUGGGCAUGGGGGCGAAAGACUAAUCGAACCUUCUAGUAGCUGGUUUCCUC
rnacentral:misc_RNA from 1 species